AGCUGUUACACCUUGAAGAGAAGAUGGAGAUAGUCUUGACAGAGACUGAAAUACUGGAAAAGGCUUUGCUCUAUCAGGCAGAGCAUGCUGUAGCCAGUGAAGAAAGACGCAAAAAGCAUAAGAGAGCCGACGAUGCAGUAAAGCUGCUGAGAAAAAAUAUAACGGAUUCAGAUACUCACCACGAAGAGCUUCUUCAGGCCUUGGAGAGAAAGGAGCAGGAGAUGAGGAGAAAGGAGGAAGAGAUGAAAAU